CAGACCCCAAGAAAAGAGUUAGCCGCUUAUUUGCCUUUCGCUUACUCCUAUAAGAGCUAGUGGUUUUUUUUGGUGUGACUACUAUGCUUAACCGCGAAAAACCAAAAUUUACAGUAAUUGAAUUUACACUAAAUUAAUAACUUAUCACAAAUAAUUUAUCAAACUUAAAAGUUAACUUGAGUUCUGAGUUAUAUCCAUUGAUGAUCUAAAUGUCGAUAUUGUUUAGCAUGUUUCCGAACACAGUAAGGAAUGGCGCUCCUGUUGUGGCCAAGUGAAUCAGAAGAUAAGCCUUCUAGUCCCAAGGGUCCCUUGGCAAGGGACACAACCCAAGCUCCGGAGAGCUGCCAACACGCUUCGAUUGACUCGAUUCGUUGCGUAGAGUAAAUUUAAGUUUUUAAAUGUGUAAUAGCUUUUAAUCGCUUCCUUAAAGUUCUAAGACAUAAACUGCCAACCAUUGUGCGAGUAUGUCCCUGUA